GUAACUACUUUUUGGAUACCGGAGCCUUGUUUAGUAACUAAUGAAGAACGCUAGGAAUGUGGAAUGUGAAGACAUAAUUUAAGAUUUGUGGCAUAUUAAGCAACAUAUAUUGAAGACAAAACUGCCCGUUUUUGGUUCGACCACAAGACUACUAAUUAUACGUGGCGGGUGGAAUUAAUAGCGAUCUCUCACACACGUGAAAUGCUCGAUAUAAAUGCCGUAAAAUUAAUCGUAAACGUGACGGCAAAUCAAAACGAAAAACUCCAUUGCGUACGUGUUGCAUUAUGCAACACUUUCAUCUACAUAUUAUCAAAGCAUUUCUCCAUCAAGGUUGACAUGUUUGUUUGUUGUGACUGUGUUACUUAGCGAAUGGUUCAUUCACUACUACUCAAGGUUCUCUAUGUUUACGUUUUUCCUAUUUGCUGCUUUAGACAGAGGCAACAAUCGUUAUGGCUGGUUUACACCAGCCAUAAGGUUUUCGUAUCUGUAAUGUCUUAAACAGUUGAAUUUAGAAAGAUACUUAAUCAGGCAUAAAAGCCCUAUAAUAUCUGCUGUUUCCUUCAGACUUUAAGUGAAUAUUUUUCUAUAGAAUUUACGUUAUUCGCUCUGUUAAAGCCGUCUUAUUAAUAUACAGUAUUCAGCAACAGAAAUCAAAUUUAUGCAGUGGUGUGCAAAUAAGCCCGAUUUUGUUUCCUCCAAUUCAUAGAAGAUCAAGCCAUACAAGUUGACAACGAGUAGGACAAAAUGGAUUGCAGCGUCCAUCGACGAGAAGAAGUAGAGUGGAGAUUGAUGACGUCCCACAAUGUAGGCCAGUUUUCCACCCGUAAACAAUGCAUUGAGCUGUGGACCAAAUCAAGUGAACUUAUGGCAACGCUGGUAGCUGCAAAGAUGCCCGACCGAAGGUAUGAAUUUGCGGCUCUGAAGAAGUUUAUCUAGUCUUUGUCACAAAAUAUCCCCCCUAUGGGGUAUGUUC
rnacentral:lncRNA from 1 species